UGUCUAGAGAUGGGAAUCGAACCCACAGUGUUCCGCUUAUCGUGCAGUUGCCAUGCCCACUAGGCUACCCUGGAC